rnacentral:rRNA from 1 species
AAACUAGAUAUGACUUAGUGGCGGACGGGUGAGUAACACGUGAGCAACCUGCCUUUCAGAGGGGGAUAACGGCUGGAAACGGUCGCUAAUACCGCAUGAUGUGUUCGGAUGGCAUCAUCUGAACAUCAAAGAUUUAUCGCUGAAAGAUGGCCUCGCGUCUGAUUAGCUAGUUGGUGAGGUAACGGCCCACCAAAGCGACGAUCAGUAGCCGGCCUGAGAGGGUGAACGGCCACAUUGGGACUGAGACACGGCCCAAACUCC